GCAGCAGUGGGGAAUAUUGCACAAUGGGCGAAAGCCUGAUGCAGCAACGCCGCGUGAGGGAUGACGGCCUUCGGGUUGUAAACCUCUUUUAGCAGGGAAGAAGCGAGAGUGACGGUACCUGCAGAAAAAGCGCCGGCUAACUACGUGCCAGCAGCCGCGGUAAUACGUAGGGCGCAAGCGUUAUCCGGAAUUAUUGGGCGUAAAGAGCUCGUAGGCGGUUUGUCGCGUCUGCUGUGAAAUCCCGAGGCUCAACCUCGGGCCUGCAGUGGGUACGGGCAGACUAGAGUGCGGUAGGGGAGAUUGGAAUUCCUGGUGUAGCGGUGGAAUGCGCAGAUAUCAGGAGGAACACCGAUGGCGAAGGCAGAUCUCUGGGCCGUAACUGACGCUGAGGAGCGAAAGGGUGGGGAGCAAACAGGCUUAGAUACCCUGGUAGUCCACCCCGUAAACGUUGGGAACUAGUUGUGGGGACCAUUCCACGGUUUCCGUGACGCAGCUAACGCA
rnacentral:rRNA from 1 species